UGGAGAGUUUGAUCCUGGCUCAGAUUGAACGCUGGCGGCAGGCCUAACACAUGCAAGUCGAACGGUAACAGGGAGCAGCUUGCUGCUCUGCUGACGAGUGGCGGACGGGUGAGUAAUGUCUGGGAAACUGCCUGAUGGAGGGGGAUAACUACUGGAAACGGUAGCUAAUACCGCAUAACGUCUUCGGACCAAAGUGGGGGACCUUCGGGCCUCAUGCCAUCAGAUGUGCCCAGAUGGGAUUAGCUAGUAGGUGGGGUAACGGCUCACCUAGGCGACGAUCCCUAGCUGGUCUGAGAGGAUGACCAGCCACACUGGAACUGAGACACGGUCCAGACUCCUACGGGAGGCAGCAGUGGGGAAUAUUGCACAAUGGGCGCAAGCCUGAUGCAGCCAUGCCGCGUGUAUGAAGAAGGCCUUCGGGUUGUAAAGUACUUUCAGCGAGGAGGAAGGGAUUGUGGUUAAUAACCRCAGUCAUUGACGUUACUCGCAGAAGAAGCACCGGCUAACUCCGUGCCAGCAGCCGCGGUA
rnacentral:rRNA from 1 species